rnacentral:lncRNA from 1 species
CCUGCUCGCGCCCGCCCGCUCGCCUGCCCAGGCAUCCUGGUGGCUGUGGAGGCGUCCAGUCGCCUGGAAAGGGCUGACAGCCUACGCAGCCCUGGUCGGGCAGAGCAAGUCCCCGGCCAGCUGGCGCGGGGAUGGGCCCCAGCCAGCUAGGAAACACUAGGAAUGCUUUGAGAGUAAACGAGAAGAUCCACAUGCAAAGCUUCUGUGUGACAGGCGUGGCAGACACUCUGGCUGCUGGCUCCAAGUCCUCUCCGCCUCCUUCUGCAUUGGCGCUGGCCGAUUCGGAUUUACCCAGGAUCCACUCACCCACCUGGCCCA